UAGGGAAUAUUGGUCAAUGGACGAAAGUCUGAACCAGCCACGCCGCGUGAAGGAUGAAGGCCCUAUGGGUUGUAAACUUCUUUUGUCAGGGAAAAAACCACCAUACGUGUAUGGUGCUGAUUGUACCUGGAGAAUAAGGAUCGGCUAACUCCGUGCCAGCAGCCGCGGUAAUACGGAGGAUCCAAGCGUUGUCCGGAUUUAUUGGGUUUAAAGGGUGCGUAGGCGGAUUAUUAAGUCAGUGGUGAAAGCCGGCAGCUCAACUGUCGAACUGCCAUUGAAACUGAUAGUCUAGAAUCUAGUAGAGGUAGGCGGAAUGUAUCAUGUAGCGGUGAAAUGCUUAGAUAUGAUACAGAACACCAAUUGCGAAAGCAGCUUACUAUGCUAGUAUUGACGCUGAGGCACGAAAGCGUGGGGAUCAAACAGG
rnacentral:rRNA from 1 species